rnacentral:rRNA from 1 species
ACAACAGUUGGAAACGACUGCUAAUACCGCAUAAGCCCACAGCUCGGCAUCGAGCAGAGGGAAAAGGAGCAAUCCGCUUUGAGAUGGCCUCGCGUCCGAUUAGCUAGUUGGUGAGGUAACGGCCCACCAAGGCGACGAUCGGUAGCCGGACUGAGAGGUUGAACGGCCACAUUGGGACUGAGACACGGCCCAGACUCCUACGGGAGGCAGCAGUGGGGAAUAUUGCACAAUGGGGGAAACCCUGAUGCAGCGACGCCGCGUGGAGGAAGAAGGUCUUCGGAUUGUAAACUCCUGUUGUUGAGGAAGAUAAUGACGGUACUCAACAAGGAAGUGACGGCUAACUACGUGCCAGCAGCCGCGGUAAAACGUAGGUCACAAGCGUUGUCCGGAAUUACUGGGUGUAAAGGGAGCGCAGGCGGGAAGACAAGUUGGAAGUGAAAUCCAUGGGCUCAACCCAUGAACUGCUUUCAAAACUGUUUUUCUUGAGUAGUGCAGAGGUAGGCGGAAUUCCCGGUGUAGCGGUGGAAUGCGUAGAUAUCGGGAGGAACACCAGUGGCGAAGGCGGCCUACUGGGCACCAACUGACGCUGAGGCUCGAAAGUGUGGGUAGCAAACAGGAUUAGAUACCCUGGUAGUCCACACUGU